UUCAAAAAAUCCCUAACCAAGAGAGAGAGGAGAGAGAGGAGGAGGAGGAGGAGGAGAAGAAGGAGCUGAAAGAGCCGUGGGUGGAGUUUUUGGAGACUUCGUCGAAGCAUCAGUGAUGGGAACUAUGGAUACUACGUUACAGGUUCACCAUCAAAUUCGAUUUUAUCAAGCUUUGUAACACCAUGUGUUUUUCAAUUUCUCUCUAAUUGGUUUGUGAUUUUCCUUUGAAAGCGAGGAGGUAUAGAUCAGUCCAACUUUUCUGAAACUAUUGGCGGUUGUUGGUGAAUGGUCAUCAAGUCUAUUUCGGUUAUGUAUUGAUCUUCACUGAUGUCUCAAUGUUCACAAGUAUGUCCCAUGACCUAGUCCAUUAAAUACUUCUUCUUCAAAUGAGUAUUGCUUUGGACAAAACAAUUUACUUAUUAAUGUAAUCACAUUGAAUAUAGGAGAUGGACUACAAGAAAGAAGCAUUGAAUCGACUCAAGUUUAGAUGGCUUUUGGUGUGGACUUGUGGAUAGUCUACAUUUUUGUUUAUGGGGGACACUUGACACUUUGUAUAAUCCUGCUAAUUAUGUCUUCCUCUGCUUUUAUGAAUAUUAGCAUUACUGGUGCAUAUAACGUUUGUAAUCCAACUGAUAGUUGCUGGCGUGGCAUAUAGAUCACCUUUUGUCGUGGUAUAGAUUACGAUGGUAAUUUGUACCACGCCAAAUGGCUAUAUCACAUGGUAGUAGAUAUAUAUUUUUUUGUAUAUAGCGGGUUGAAUUUUUGUAUGGAAAUAUAAUUUUAGUUUGGGCAAUAGUUGGUUUGUAUAGAAUAUAUGCAUUAAAGAUAUUCAUUUUUGGAUGGUUUGAAGUAAUAUGGACU